rnacentral:rRNA from 1 species
GAUUAUGGCUCAGGAUGAACGCUGGCGGCGUGCCUAACACAUUCAAGUCGAACGAACUGUAGAAAUACAGUGAGUGGCGGACGGGUGAGUAACGCGUAAGCAAUCUGCCUUUGUGUGUGGAAUAACAACCGGAAACAGUUGCUAAUACCGCAUAACGCAUAGGAGUCGCAUGGCUCUUAUGCCAAAGAUUUAUCGCACGAAGAUGAGCUUGCGUCCGAUUAGAUAGUUGGCGGGGUAACGGCCCACCAAGUCUACGAUCGGUAGCCGGACUGAGAGGUUGAACGGCCACAUUGGAACUGAGAUACGGUCCAGACUCCUACGGGAGGCAGCAGUGGGGAAUAUUGGGCAAUGGACGAAAGUCUGAACCCCCAGCGACGCCGCGUGAGGGAAGAAGGUCUUCGGAUUGUAAACCUUAGUCAACAGGGACGAAGCAAGUGACGGUACCUGUGGAGGAAGCCACGGCUAACUACGUGCCAGCAGCCGC